GACGGCUUAUUGGGAAUUAUGGCUGCGAUUCAACCCUGUGAUUCAGCAAUCUGUUAAAUCCUCAACAAGGGAAAGACCACGUUGUGUGAAAGCAUAUUGUAUGGCCCGACA